AUGUCUUACUAUAAAAUAAUUAAAUAAAAACUAGGAUAUAGAAUAUGCGUCAUCAUCCGCUAACCAACACCCUCAAUCUCAUCCCUUAUUAAGCGCUAAAGAAGCUGUUUCCUUAUGGGUUUUAGGUGCUAGAAAGGCUAUGUACAGGCAAUUGAUGGAGGCUAAAAACGCCAAAAAUAAGAUCGACCCAGAAAUAACACUGCAAUUUUUAAAAUCAGCAAUUUACUACUUCUUAACUGACAAAGAAAAUAGUCAAGGUCAUCUAAAAGCGAUCCAAAGCAUUUUAGGAUUCACCCCAGCCGAAAUUAAUCAAAUUGAUAAGAAUAGAACUAAUUAAAUUUAAAUAUAAACGUA